GGUAUUUAUCUUCGGAUAGAGAGACCGGCGCACGGGUGCGUAACGCGUAUGCAAUCUACCUUUUGCAGAGGGAUAGCCCAGAGAAAUUUGGAUUAAUACCUCAUAGUAUGCAGAGUUGGCAUCAACACUGCAUUAAAGUCACAACGGCAAAAGAUGAGCAUGCGUCCCAUUAGCUAGUUGGUAAGGUAACGGCUUACCAAGGCUACGAUGGGUAGGGGUCCUGAGAGGGAGAUCCCCCACACUGGUACUGAGACACGGACCAGACUCCUACGGGAGGCAGCAGUGAGGAAUAUUGGACAAUGGGCGCAAGCCUGAUCCAGCCAUGCCGCGUGCAGGAUGACGGUCCUAUGGAUUGUAAACUGCUUUUGCACAGGAAGAAACAACGCUACGUGUAGCGUCUUGACGGUACUGUGAGAAUAAGGAUCGGCUAACUCCGUGCCAGCAGCCGCGGUAAUACGGAGGAUCCAAGCGUUAUCCGGAAUCAUUGGGUUUAAAGGGUCCGUAGGCGGUUUAGUAAGUCAGUGGUGAAAGCCCAUCGCUCAACGGUGGAACGGCCAUUGAUACUGCUAGACUUGAAUUAUUAGGAAGUAACUAGAAUAUGUAGUGUAGCGGUGAAAUGCUUAGAGAUUACAUGGAAUACCAAUUGCGAAGGCAGGUUACUACUAAUGGAUUGACGCUGAUGGACGAAAGCGUGGGUAGCGAACAGGAUUAGAUACCCUGGUAGUCCACGCCGUAAACGAUGGAUACUAGCUGUUGGGAGCGAUCUCAGU
rnacentral:rRNA from 1 species